AUUAAAGGCGUGCGUCAGCCUUCUUUCUUAUAGAACCCACGACUGCCAGCCCAGGGAUGGCACCACCCACAAUGGGCCCCCACCCCCACCCCCACCCUUGAUCACUAAUUGAGAAAAUGCCUUACAGCUGGAUCUCAUGGAGGCAUUUCCUCAAGGGAGGAUCCUUUCUCUGUGAUAACUCCAGCUGUGUCAAGUUGACACACACAACUAGCCAGGACACUCCUCAAAUUGCUUGCUGGGCUUUGCGGCUCCGGAGUAGGUUGGCAGUGGGGGUGGCGGUGGGGUAGUAGGAUAGCAGGCAAUGUGAAGUAGACCAGUUAUGUAAGUAAAACUUGAGUGCAGGGAGAUAGCAUCAACCGGUGCAUCUGGGCUUUUGGAGGCUUAUUAUCCAUUUCCCAUGGGGUGGAGUCAGGGCUUAAAGCCAGGAACCACAGCCAGGAAAGGUCUUUUUAGAGGACGCAGGAUGAGGUGCAGGGGAAGAUGCCCAGGGGACAGGAUUGAUGCAUAUUCCUGAUCUUCCACAGGAGUGGGUAAAGAUGCAGUGUGUGUGUGUGUGUGUGUGUGUGUGUGUGUGUGUAUGUGUGUGUGCGCGCGCACGUCCGCGCAUGGUAUUCAUGUCAGGUUCCAGUCACUCAGGAUUCUGGGUUUGUGCCUUUGUGCCACCUGCUGAGAACGCAGGGAUCUGGAUAAUUGGGGAAGUGCUCCAUAAGAGGAAACUGCCGCUUCUGGGGCAGAGGCAGGGAGUUUAUUUCUCCCGCUUGCUGCCUUUACUUCGUGUUCUGUCAGAGCUGACUUACCACUGACAUUACUGGAUCACAGGGAGAGCUUCCUUUACAAAUGUCAGUGCCUCAGAAGCCUGGGAGAUCCUAGGGGGUGUCAAGUCCUGCACAGCGGCACCGUCUGAGGAGGCAGUCAUUUGAUGAAAGUACAAGCAGUGACCUGGGUUCAAGCCCCAGCACUCAUAGAACAACCAGGCUUGUGGUUUGUGGCUGUAAUUCCAUUGCUGAGGAGGCAGAGACAGGAAGAUUCCUAGGGCUCACUGAUCAGCAAGUCCCACACCCCAGUCCCAGUGAGAGCUAUUGUUUUGUUGGGUUUUUUGUUUUUCUCAAAGAUUUCUUUCUUUUUUUUUUUCUUUUUAAGAUUUAUUUACUUAUUUUAUUUCUAUGAGUACACUGUGUAGCUGUACAGAUGGUUGUGAACCUUCAUCUGGUUGUUGAGAACUGAAUUUACAGUUUAAAUUCUGCUCGCUCAAUCCUGCUCACUCCUGCCCAAAGAUUUAUUUAUUAUUAUAAAUAAGUACACUGUAGCUGUCUUCAGACACACCAGAAGAGGGCAUUGGAUCCCAUUACAGAUGGUUGUGAGCCACCAUGUGGUUGCUGGGAUUCAAACUCAGGGCCUUUGGAAGAACAGUCAGUGCUUUUAACCACUGAGCCAUCUCUCCAGCCCCUGAGAGCUAUUGUUUUAAAAUGAGGUGGGGGUGUCUGAGGAAUGAUAUCAGAUUGACCUCUGGCCUUCACACACACACACACACACACACACAGAGGGAGAGGGAGGGAGAGGAGAGAGACAAGCACACAUUUAUACCUCUGGACCCCCAGCUCUUACAUUUAUAAAUCUUUCGGAGGGAGUGGAACAUUUGCAGUCAGGACAACUUGCGGGGGUUGGUUCUCUACUUCUACCAAGUGGGUUCUGUGGUACUCAGGUUAUCAGCCUCAAUGGCAAGCUUCCUUCCUUACCAUUGAGCUAUCUCGCCAGCCCAAAGCUGUGACUCCUAACUCCUGUGGUAUAUCCAGACUAGGGCUGUAUGAGGAAGCUGUAGAAGAUGGAGGAUUCAGUCUAACCCUCCCAAGGCUGCAGAGUGUCCAAGGUGAACAUCUCAGCAUUGAUCUGGCUUCCUACCGGGUUGUCUUAACUCUGAACCAUGUUUCUCUGGUUUCAGGAUCUGGCUGUAGUGUGGCCCAGGCCUUAAUUCCUAAACUGGAGUUUCUCUGCUUUCUAGUCAACUAGAAAGCAGCCUUAACAAAAAGCUUUCCCUGGGGCUAGCAGAUGUAGCUCGGGUAGAGCACGUGCCCACUGUGCACAGGAGCCUCCCUGGGUUUGAUUAGUUUAUAUAUU
rnacentral:lncRNA from 1 species